GCUUCCUUAACGUUUGUACCGACAAAUAUCCAACGUCAGUCAUAGGAAUUGCAGAUGAAUAAAUACCAAAGCUUAAAUGAGGCUUCAUAAACUGAUCUGUUGCGAACAAUGCUGCAGUUAAAUAUAGUUUGCCACGUAUAUGCGAUGACGCGCUAUGCUUUCGAGAAGAACUAGUGUUAUCUUAAUUACAUGUGCAUACUCUUUAUGGAGAAGAUCAUUGUUACCAAGGAUCGACCGAUUUGCUCUGUAGAUAUGUUACACAUUAGAUUUUCAAUUAAAGGUUUAUAUUUUAUUCGUUUUCAAAUGAACAUUAAAAUUGUUUUGAGUAUUUUUCUUCUGAAAUUACCGCGGGCUUCAAAUCAACGAACAUCGAUGAAGAGAGAGAGAUAAGUACAAACAUGAGUGUUCUGGGAAGUGGUUGUUCUCAGCUCUUUUCGACUUUUUCCUUCUCCAAAUAAGACGCGAAUAGUGAAAACGACGUGCUUAAUUCUAUGGAAUCAAUUAGCUGGAGGAGAAAAUGCAUUACGCAUCGCCACCAAUGCUGAUCGGUGGGAUAUGUGGGAUUCGCCAAAGGUGUUGAGCGGCCUAUCCAUUAAAAACCUCGCCUCAACUUUUUCUCCGAAAAGCAGAAUUUGCCUCCCUCCGGUUGCGACGCGGCUAUUGCAUUACAACCUUAACUAUAACUAAAUAAAUAAUACUUGACUUUUAGCAAUUAUUCUCAAUGUAUUACAAUACAAGACAAAAGUAAAUAUUA